GAGUCUUAACCGGGCGUUAAGUUGCAGGGUAUAGACCCGAAACCCGGUGAUCUAGCCAUGGGCAGGUUGAAGGUUGGGUAACACUAACUGGAGGACCGAACCGACUAAUGUUGAAAAAUUAGCGGAUGACCUGUGGCUGGGGGUGAAAGGCCAAUCAAACCGGGAGAUAGCUGGUUCUCCCCGAAAGCUAUUUAGGUAGCGCCUCGUGAACUCAUCUCCGGGGGUAGAGCACUGUUUCGGCUAGGGGGCCAUCCCGGCUUACCAACCCGAUGCAAACUGCGAAUACCGGAGAAUGUUAUCACGGGAGACACACGGCGGGUGCUAACGUCCGUCGUGAAGAGGGAAACAACCCAGACCGCCAGCUAAGGUCCCAAAGUCAUGGUUAAGUGGGAAACGAUGUGGGAAGGCCCAGACAGCCAGGAUGUUGGCUUAGAAGCAGCCAUCAUUUAAAGAAAGCGUAAUAGCUCACUGGUCGAGUCGGCCUGCGCGGAAGAUGUAACGGGGCUAAACCAUGCACCGAAGCUGCGGCAGCGACACUAUGUGUUGUUGGGUAGGGGAGCGUUCUGUAAGCCUGUGAAGGUGGCCUGUGAGGGUUGCUGGAGGUAUCAGAAGUGCGAAUGCUGACAUAAGUAACGAUAAAGCGGGUGAAAAGCCCGCUCGCCGGAAGACCAAGGGUUCCUGUCCAACGUUAAUCGGGGCAGGGUGAGUCGACCCCUAAGGCGAGGCCGAAAGGCGUAGUCGAUGGGAAACGGGUUAAUAUUCCCGUACUUGGUGUUACUGCGAAGGGGGGACGGAGAAGGCUAUGUUGGCCGGGCGACGGUUGUCCCGGUUUAAGCGUGUAGGUGUGUGUUCCAGGUAAAUCCGGUUCACUUUAACACUGAGGCGUGAUGACGAGGCACUACGGUGCUGAAGCAACAAAUGCCCUGCUUCCAGGAAAAGCCUCUAAGCAUCAGGUAACAUCAAAUCGUACCCCAAACCGACACAGGUGGUCAGGUAGAGAAUACCAAGGCGCUUGAGAGAACUCGGGUGAAGGAACUAGGCAAAAUGGUGCCGUAACUUCGGGAGAAGGCACGCUGACAUGUAGGUGAAGUGAUUUACUCAUGGAGCUGAAGUCAGUCGAAGAUACCAGCUGGCUGCAACUGUUUAUUAAAAACACAGCACUGUGCAAACACGAAAGUGGACGUAUACGGUGUGACGCCUGCCCGGUGCCGGAAGGUUAAUUGAUGGGGUCAGCGCAAGCGAAGCUCCUGAUCGAAGCCCCGGUAAACGGCGGCCGUAACUAUAACGGUCCUAAGGUAGCGAAAUUCCUUGUCGGGUAAGUUCCGACCUGCACGAAUGGCGUAAUGAUGGCCAGGCUGUCUCCACCCGAGACUCAGUGAAAUUGAACUCGCUGUGAAGAUGCAGUGUACCCGCGGCAAGACGGAAAGACCCCGUGAACCUUUACUAUAGCUUGACACUGAACAUUGAGCCUUGAUGUGUAGGAUAGGUGGGAGGCUUUGAAGUGUGGACGCCAGUCUGCAUGGAGCCGACCUUGAAAUACCACCCUUUAAUGUUUGAUGUUCUAACGUGGACCCGUAAUCCGGGUUGCGGACAGUGUCUGGUGGGUAGUUUGACUGGGGCGGUCUCCUCCUAAAGAGUAACGGAGGAGCACGAAGGUUGGCUAAUCCUGGUCGGACAUCAGGAGGUUAGUGCAAUGGCAUAAGCCAGCUUGACUGCGAGCGUGACGGCGCGAGCAGGUGCGAAAGCAGGUCAUAGUGAUCCGGUGGUUCUGAAUGGAAGGGCCAUCGCUCAACGGAUAAAAGGUACUCCGGGGAUAACAGGCUGAUACCGCCCAAGAGUUCAUAUCGACGGCGGUGUUUGGCACCUCGAUGUCGGCUCAUCACAUCCUGGGGCUGAAGUAGGUCCCAAGGGUAUGGCUGUUCGCCAUUUAAAGUGGUACGCGAGCUGGGUUUAGAACGUCGUGAGACAGUUCGGUCCCUAUCUGCCGUGGGCGCUGGAGAACUGAGGGGGGCUGCUCCUAGUACGAGAGGACCGGAGUGGACGCAUCACUGGUGUUCGGGUUGUCAUGCCAAUGGCACUGCCCGGUAGCUAAAUGCGGAAGAGAUAAGUGCUGAAAGCAUCUAAGCACGAAACUUGCCCCGA
rnacentral:rRNA from 1 species